AGGGAAGUGAUGACACUCAUUACCUCUGAUAUUCGCUGAUUUCUAACGUAUUCGUACUGGCUGAUCCCG
rnacentral:snoRNA from 12 species